rnacentral:rRNA from 1 species
UACGUAGGCAGCGAGCGUUGUUCGGAAUUACUGGGCGUAAAGAGUGUGUAGGCGGUGCUCCCAGUCUGUUGUGAAAUCUCCCGGCUUAACUGGGAGGGUGCAGCGGAAACUAGAGUGCUAGAGGGUGGGAGAGGUAAGUGGAAUUCCUGGUGUAGCGGUGAAAUGCGUAGAUAUCAGGAGGAACACCGGUGGUGUAGACGGCUUUCUGGACCGUAACUGACGCCGAGACACGAAAGCGUGGGUAGCAAACAGG